AGAAAUCCAAAACAAAGGAUAGGAAGGGCUGAUAAUUUGCACAAUACUUUCGGGAGGGGCUAAACACUUCAAUGAGUCAGCUUGUCUACUGAAACUCAAUUUUAAAACAAAACCAUGCACAGGAAUCAGAAUGCCAGUGAACUUCAGUGCCAUGGGAUCGUGAACAUUCACCUGAACAGGCAGAUGGGACCUGUUUAAUGUCUCAUCCAAAGGGCAGAUCCUCUGACAUUGCAAGACACACCCACCACAGCACUGGAGAGUCAGCUUAGACGAUUGUGAUUCCAACUUCUGACCUAGGGCUUGAACCCAUAACCGUCUGACUCAGAGGCAAGAGUGCUACCACUGCGUCAGGCUGACACACAUGUUGGUGUAGAAAUGUUGAUAUAUUUCUGCCCUUAUUUAAUGGAAACUGAAGAGUCAUUCCUGGAUUAUUCUCAGGCAUGUGGAGGAAGGAAACUUGUCCAAGGCUUUGCCCUGCUGGGAAUCGAACCAGGUCUCUCGCUUGCAAAGGUGAGUGCUCUAACCACUGAGCUACAGGACUCCACAAUGAUUUGAUAUGAAUCGAAGGUUCAUACAUAAAUAAAACCCUGUGGCAUGUUUGCAAGAUAAACUAAGAGUAAGCACGAUUUUUGCAAUAAAACUGCUAUACUUUUU